CCUACGGGUGGCAGCAGUGGGGGAUAUUGCACAAUGGGGGCAACCCUGAUGCAGCGACGCCGCGUGAGCGAUGGAGUACUUCGGUAUGUAAAGCUCUGUCAGCAGGGAAGAGAAUGACGGUACCUGACCAAGAAGCCCCGGCUAAAUACGUGCCAGCAGCCGCGGUAAUACGUAUGGGGCAAGCGUUAUCCGGAUUUACUGGGUGUAAGGGAGCGUAGGCGGCAGGGCAAGCCUGAUGUGAAAGCCCGGGGCUCAACCCCGGGACUGCAUUGGGAACUGCCCCGCUCGAGUGCCGGAGGGGCAGGCGGAAUUCCUAGUGUAGCGGUGAAAUGCAUAGAUAUCACGCAGAACUCCGAUUGCGAAGGCAGCAUACCGGCGCCCGACUGACGCUGAAGCACGAAAGCGUGGGUAUCGAACAGGAUUAGAUACCCCUGUAGUC
rnacentral:rRNA from 1 species